rnacentral:rRNA from 1 species
GGUCUGGCUGGCGGGUCCGCCUCACCGCGUGCACUUGUCCGGCCGGGCCUUUCCUUCUGGAGAACCUCAUGCCCUUCACUGGGCGUGUUGGGGAACCAGGACUUUUACUUUGAAAAAAUUAGAGUGUUCAAAGCGGGCGCAUGCUCGAAUAGAUUAGCAUGGAAUAAUGGAAUAGGACCU